GUCCACUAGAAAUUCUGAAUCACAUUAGAAUUUUUGUUUCUCUACUCGAAAAGUGUAAAAGGUUUGAAAAAAUAGUGGGAGUCCAUUUGAUUCUUAAAGUCCUUAGAUCAAAUGAAAUCAAAUUACAAAUGUCUAAUUUGAACCUCUACUCUCAUAGAUUAACAAUAUCAGCUUCAAACCCUUUAGCUUGAAUUUUAGAGUCCAACCAUCUGAUCGGAUUGAACUACAAGGACUGACUCAAAAAUCUCAAGAUAGUCUUGAUGUCUGAGAAAAUAGGUUAUGUUUUUUACUAGGACCCCCCAGCUAUGCCAAGCCAUCCAACUGCUGACCAAAGGGCUGCACUGGAUAAAUGGGCGGAUGAUGAUAAUAGGAUUUAAUACUACAUACUGACUUCGAUAUCAAAUGAGUUAUAGAGCUAGUAUGAGCACAUACCUACUAUCAGGGCUACGAUCACUCCUCUACAAGAGUUGUAUAGUGAGCAGAGCCGCACAAUGUAUUUUGAAGUGUCGAAGAGAUACUUCAAUUCUAAAAUAUGUGAAAGAUAGUUGGUUCAUGAUCAUUAUUUGACAAUGAUCAAGAAUCUUGAAGAGCUUGAGAAGC
rnacentral:lncRNA from 1 species